GGCACACUCCUGGCUACAUUAUACACAGACCCAGCACUAGAUGGCCCAUAUGGUCUACAUGUGACCCCUGCAGGCCAGGUGCUGGUCUGUGGACGCCUGUCCAACACUGUACUACAGGUGGGCUGGGAGGGAGAGAGUAAGCUGGCUAAUCUUGCUACUCAGGAGGAUGGAGUGUGGUGCCCACAGUCAGUCUGCUACAGCAGCACAACAUCAUCCAUCAUUGUGGGACAAUAUGGGGACAACAUCCUGGUGUUCAGAGUGGAAUAGUGUGUACAUUGGCUGCUGAGUCAGGACAAGGAUGCUGAGGAUGUGGUGGACAAGGAUGACCUGAAUACACAGAAGCUACUGCUCAGCAAAGAAGACAACUGUCUGGUGAAAGGCUGGCUGUAUUACAGUCCAGUGAUGUGGGGGGACGCGGCCUUUCCAUGUCCGGGGAUUGCAUUGUAGCGGACACUAACAAAAAAAGAGAGCCCCGGUUUUGAUAUAGAGUUGGUACGGCAACGGCACCAGCCAGGCCUGCAGAAGCCUCAAGUCAAGCACGACCACUCCCCUGACCCCUAGCUUCUCCCAUUUGACAUCCAGCUUCAAAGGGUCAGCAUCGUUGAACAAAUUCCUCCUAUAGAAAAUUUUGAGCACAAAGAGUUUUAACACAUGGUUCUCAACAACCACAAUUUUCGUGUCGAGUGAUCCGCACUUGAGCCUGAUUGGUUUGUUAGACCCGAGUGCCGGAGAUGGGACAACCGUUACAGACACAAGGCCUUAUUGCAGCAGUUAUGGCAACAUGUACGGUCAGUUCUCAAUGUUGGACUUCACAACUAAUAUCAUGAUAAAUACAAAGUUGGAUAACUCGUUCCAUUCUUUUUGGGACAAACAGUAGAACGGAAAGUAACAAGAGAAAAUCAAGGAAUAUUUGUAGAGUUUUAGUCAAAAGCGUAUGCUUACCACUGGGAUACUCCUGGACAGUCGUGACUUUACGGACAGUCCCGGUUUGUCCUCACAGGUGUCCAAACUGUCCAAAAAGAACGCACUUUUGACGCAGUUGCUAACAAAGAAAGGCACCACCGACUUUGUUGUGAACACUCAGAGCUUCCAUGGCCAUGCCUCUGGCGGGAAGUUCGACCAACAGCUGAAACAAGGUGCUAAAGGUGAACCCAUCAGGGUUUGUAACU